CGGCUGAGGGCGGGCUGACGGGCGGCGCCGACGGACGCACCGCGACGCGAGGGGAGGUCUGGCCCGGCUGGGCCGGAGUCCCGGAGACCCCGCAGCCGUCUUCGUAAAAUCGGCCCCCGCCCCGCGGGACCAGCCCCAGCCGAGAGGUUGGGCCGGCGCCCUGGGUCGCGGACCAACGGUGGAGGGGCCUCGCUGCCUGGGCCGGGCGCUUCCCGGAUCCGCCUCGCCGAACCCUGCGCCCGCCUAAUCCCUGAUCUCCACGAGUUUGGGUGAGAAGUGAGGUUGCUCUGCCCAGGAUGGAUUUUAGAGGAAGAAAGCCGUGAGCCGACGAACCCCGCCCGAACUUCCCCGGAGACUCCCAGUUAAUGUCUGAAGAUGUAUGACAACGAGUGGCUUGGGGAAAAUUCAUAAAAUGAGCAAGAGCCUUGAACUUUUCCAGGGGGUAGGCAAGUAUAUCAGAUGAUGUUUCUGCCUUUCUUGCUUCCUUACUCUUAAUUCUUCCUGUAUUCAUGGAACACAGACCUGCUGAAAGGGUAAAGGAUGGCAGUUUACUUAUUGUUAGUUGUUCAGCCUUCCAAAUCCUUGGGCACUGUAGAAAAAAAUCCAUUCAGCCAAGAGUCACCUUGUUUCAAAUCCCAGCCAGGUUGGGCCUUGCACACAUAUUUCGAUAGAUAACAGUGUUUGAAGGCGAGGGGGAGAGCAAGUUCCAGGCAGAGGGUAGGAAAAAGGGCAAGGUAAGGACUAUCAAGGGGGCAGGAGAGCCAAGAGUAUGUUCCUCUACAACUCAAAAGAGAAAAGCACCUGAGACAAGUUCUGUGCUUACAGUGAAUGAUCGAAAAAGUAAGUCCUUAAAAUGACACUGGAACAUCUCAGAAGAGAAGAGUUUAAGAGAAAGAACACUGGACAGAGCUGGAGCUGAGCUCUGGCCAGCUCCUCCACAGACAAACUGCUUGGGCCCUUAACCUAACCUUUCAAGUUUCGCCUACCUCUUCUAUGAAGGAGUUUGGGCCAGAGGAUUCCCAAAGCCCUUUCCAGGUCUAAAGGGCUAUGAUUCCAUUUUUUGAGGUAACUAUGAAAAAAAUAAAAAUGAAACUAGUCAUUGAAAUUCAGGAAAA